GACGGGGGAUGCAAGUGUUAUCCGGAAUCACUGGGCGUAAAGCGUCUGCAGGUGGUUUCCUAAGUCCACUGUUAAACCUUGAGGCUCAACCUCAAAUCUGCAUUGGAAACUAGGAGACUUGAGUAUAGUAGGGGUAGAGGGAAUUUCCAGUGGAGCGGUGAAAUGCGUAGAUAUUGGAAAGAACACCGAUGGCGAAGGCGCUCUACUGGGCUAUUACUGACACUCAGAGACGAAAGCUAGGGGAGCAAAUGGG
rnacentral:rRNA from 1 species